CCUACGGGUGGCAGCAGUAGGGAAUAUUGCUCAAUGGGGGAAACCCUGAUGCAGCAACGCCGCGUGGGUGAUGAAGGUUUUCGGAUUGUAAACUCCUUUUGGUAGAGAAGAUAAUGACGGUAUCUAACGAAUAAGCACCGGCUAACUCCGUGCCAGCAGCCGCGGUAAUACGUAGGGUGCAAGCGUUACCCGGAAUUACUGGGCGUAAAGAGCGCGUAGGCGGGACUGCAAGUCAGAAGUGAAAUGCGGGGGCUUAACCAUCGGACUGCACUGGAAACUGUUCGGCUGGAGUACGGGAGAGAUAAGUGAAAGUGCGAGUGUAGAGGGGAAACGCGUAGAUAUGAGGAGGAACACGAGUGGGGAAGGCGGGGUACUGGACUAUAACUGACGUUGAGGCUCGAAAGCGUGGGGAGCAAACAGGAAUAGAGAACCGAGUAGUC
rnacentral:rRNA from 1 species